UACGGGGGGGGCAAGCGUUGUUCGGAAUUACUGGGCGUAAAGGGCUCGUAGGCGGCCAACUAAGUCAGACGUGAAAUCCCUCGGCUUAACCGGGGAACUGCGUCUGAUACUGGAUGGCUUGAGUUUGGGAGAGGGAUGCGGAAUUCCAGGUGUAGCGGUGAAAUGCGUAGAUAUCUGGAGGAACACCGGUGGCGAAGGCGGCAUCCUGGACCAACACUGACGCUGAGUGAGCGAAAGCCAGGGAGCAAACGGG
rnacentral:rRNA from 1 species